CAGCCACAUCCAAGCCCCAGCACAGCAAGGUGCUCCCAGAUGCCACUCCAGCCCCUGGUCAGAGCGCAGCUGUCCAGGAAGCAAGCUCAGUCUAGAGUGCCACUCCUUCGACGACCAGACCCCAACACAAGCCUGAUGUAGAAGCCACUUGCUUCAGGUAGCUCUAAAUGUACUGUCUCAUACCAUGGCUUAAAAAAAAAAAAUCCAGGAUGAGUUAAAAGUGUUCGUGGUUUCAUCACCUAGCCAAGGUUAAUGUCUGGGUCUUCCGUUUCUAGCCAGAGAACUGGAAACAAAUCACUGUUUUGCUAGGAGCUUUGCAUGACCUCACGCCCUAGGCUGCCGGGUCCUGGGCUGUCCUGAUGGGCUGUGAAAUCCCACCCACUCCCAGGGCUGCCGGGUCCUGGGCUGUCCUGAUGGGCUGUGAAAUCCCACCCACUCCCCUCCCCGCGAGGCAAGGACAGCCUCUGCCCUGCCUGCCUGGGAGCACGGUAUGGGCUUGCCUAGGCCUCAGUGUCUUAACACUGUGGUGACUCAAAUUCCUUGUUUUACCUUCACCAAGUAACCCAGAGCCAGGAUCCUUGAUGACUCUGGUAAGGCAGUGACUACCCCUGCUCAGAAUGCAAGGGUCGCUAGGGAAGAUUUUAGAAAAAAAAAAAGGACUCCAAAAAUGGAGAAUCUAAAUGUAGUCCUUUGAAAAUGUCACCCAUAGAUCCUCUACCACUAACUGUAAUAAAUUUGACCAAAUAGCA
ensembl:lncRNA novel transcript, antisense to TOP3A